UACGGGGGGGGCAAGCGUUGUUCGGAAUUACUGGGCGUAAAGGGUUUGUAGGUGGCCUGCUAAGUCAGACGUGAAAUCCCUCAGCUUAACUGGGGAACUGCGUCUGAGACUGGUAGGCUCGAGGACAGGAGAGGAACGCGGAAUUCCAGGUGUAGCGGUGAAAUUCGUAGAUAUCGGGAGGAACACCGGUGGCGAAGGCGGCGACCUGGGUCGACACUGACGCUGAGGCGCGAAAGCGUGGGGAGCAAACAGG
rnacentral:rRNA from 1 species